rnacentral:rRNA from 1 species
CCUACGUGUGGCAGCAGUGGGGGAUAUUGCACAAUGGGGUAACCCCUGAUGCAGCACCGCCGCGUGAGUGAAGAAGUAUUUCGGUAUGUAAAGCUCUAUCAGCAGGGAAGAGAAUGACGGUACCUGACUACGACGCCCCGGCUAACUACUUGCAAGCAGCCGCGGUAAUGCGUAGGGGGCGAGCGUACUCCGGCUUUACUGGGUGUAAAGGGAGCGUUGACGGGUGGACAAGGCUCACGUGAAAGCCCGGGGCUUAACCCCGGAACGGCUUGGGAAACUGGGCAGAUAGAGUGGUGGAGAGGUAAGCGGAAUGCGUGGUGUAGCGGUGAAAUGCGGAGAUAUUAGGCAGAACACCAGUGGCGAAGGCGGCAUACUGG